rnacentral:rRNA from 1 species
GAUGAACGCUGACAGAAUGCUUAACACAUGCAAGUCUUUGGCGAAGCUGUGCUCGCACAGCCUAGCCAAGGCGGACGGGUGAGUAACGCGUAAGGAACUUGCCCUGCAGUCAGGGAUAACAGACGGAAACGACUGAUAAGACCUGGUAAAGUCAGGCGGACUCAUGUCCAGCCUGAUGAAAAGAGAUGCUGCAGGAGAGCCUUGCGUCCUAUUAGCUUGUUGGUGGGGUAACGGCCCACCAAGGCGAUGAUAGGUAGCCGGCCUGAGAGGGUGGACGGCCACAAGGGGACUGAGAUACGGCCCUUACUCCUACGGGAGGCAGCAGUGAGGAAUAUUGGACAAUGGGGGCAACCCUGAUCCAGCAAUUCUGUGUGCACGAUGAAGGUUUUCGGAGUGUAAAGUGCUUUCAGCAGGGAAGAAAAAAAUGACGGUACCUGCAGAAGAAGCGACGGCUAAAUACGUG